UACGGGGGGGGGCAAGCGUUGUUCGGAAUUACUGGGCGUAAAGGGCGCGUAGGCGGCCUGCUAAGUCGGACGUGAAAUCCCCCGGCUCAACCGGGGAACUGCGUCCGAUACUGGUGGGCUCGAAUCCGGGAGAGGGAUGUGGAAUUCCAGGUGUAGCGGUGAAAUGCGUAGAUAUCUGGAGGAACACCGGUGGCGAAGGCGGCAUCCUGGACCGGUAUUGACGCUGAGGCGCGAAAGCCAGGGGAGCAAACGGGG
rnacentral:rRNA from 1 species